CCUACGGGAGGCAGCAGUGAGGAAUAUUGGUCAAUGGGCGCGAGCCUGAACCAGCCAAGUAGCGUGAAGGAUGACUGCCCUACGGGUUGUAAACUUCUUUUAUAAAGGCAUAAAGUGAGGCCCGUGUGCCUUUUUGUAUGUACUUUAUGAAUAAGGAUCGGCUAACUCCGUGCCAGCAGCCGCGGUAAUACGGAGGUUCCGAGCGUUAUCCGGAUUUAUUGGGUUUAAAGGGAGCGUAGAUGGGUUUUUAAGUCAGUUGUGAAAGUUUGCGGCUCAACCGUAAAAUUGCAAUUGAUACUGGCAGCCUUGAGUACAGUUGAGGUAGGCGGAAUGCGUGGUGUAGCGGUGAAAUGCUUAGAUAUCACGAAGAACUCCGAUUGCGAAGGCAGCUUACUAAACUGCCACUGACAUUGAUGCUCGAAAGUGUGGGUAUCAAACAGGAUUAGAUACCCUGGUAGUC
rnacentral:rRNA from 1 species